CCCUUAGAUGUCCGGGGCCGCACGCGCGCUACACUGAAGGAAUCAGCGUGGCUUUCUCCCUGACCCGAAAGGGUUGGGAAACCCGUUGAAUCUCCUUCGUGAUAGGGAUUGGGGCUUGAAAUUGUUCCCCAUGAACGAGGAAUUCCCAGUAAGCGCGAGUCAUAAGCUCGCGUUGAUUACGUCCCUGCCCUUUGUACACACCGCCCGUCGCUACUACCGAUUGGAUGAUCCGGUGAGCUAUUCGGACUUUCGCAUUGUCGAUUUUCGGCUUUACGAGGGAAAGUCUCGCGAACCUUAUCAUCUAGAGGAAGGAGAAGUCGUAACA
rnacentral:rRNA from 1 species